AAGCGUGUCAGUCACUGUGGUUGUCUGUGUGUUAAAAAGCCUCUCUGGUAGUUCCACUCUCUAGCAAAUUCUUUUUGAGCAGUUGAAAGAAGAGGUCGUCUCAGUCAUCAUUUCAGUACAGGAAGGACCAGCUAGUACCAUGCUAAUUCCAGCUAUUAUAUUUAUUUCAUACUGUGUAACAAGUGUCUCUGCAGAAAGUGUAACAAGUGUCUCUGGAAUAAGUCUAACAAGUGUCUCUGCAGAAAAUGUAACAAGUGUCUUGGCAGAAUGUA